GAUCAUGGCUCAGGAUGAACGCUGGCGGCGUGCUUAACACAUGCAAGUCGAACGGGAAACAUUUUAUUGAAGCUUCGGCAGAUUUAGCUUGUUUCUAGUGGCGGACGGGUGAGUAACGCGUGGGUAACCUGCCUUAUACUGGGGGAUAACAGCCAGAAAUGACUGCUAAUACCGCAUAAGCGCACAGAACCGCAUGGUUCCGUGUGAAAAACUCCGGUGGUAUAAGAUGGACCCGCGUUGGAUUAG
rnacentral:rRNA from 1 species